GGGAGACGGGCACGGGGCUUCUGACGGUGACGCACUUGCUGGAGAGUGUGGGGUGACACAGCCGGGCUCUCCCCAUAACUGGUGACCGGGGGUGCUCCAGAGGCUUUGGGUCAACGCAGCCCGUGCCUGUGAACCUCGGCGGUGCGUCCCUGGGACUCUGCUCCGUGAGGUAUGGCAGGUGUUACCCUUCCGGUUCUGUUUUCCCCAGGCCAGCAUCCUUCAGAAAAAGCAUCCCCGAGGAGGAAGACGAAUCGUUAAACAUCUGAAAGGGUCAGGUGAGUAUCCUUUUUUUUUUAUAUUAAAUGAUAUGUGUUUAUAAGACUUAAGACCAAACAUUAAAGGUAGAUGAC
rnacentral:lncRNA from 1 species